CUUUGUUUGUCUGGAUAAUCCUAUGUUUGCCUGUACUCGAACCGUCAACGGUGGACAUCGCAGUCAGGUAUACAUAGAAAUGGUUCCUGACUUUGCCUGCCCAUAUAACAAUAAACAAGAUUCUACAUUUUAAAAAUAUGACUAAGGACAAUCCUGCAUAUUUGCAGUUUUACACAUUGCAGUUCAUCUCAUCUGCUGCUGGAAUAAAUAAUGAAAGCUGUUUAUACCACUAUCCAAGAGCCCCCUAGAGUCUGAAAUCCUGGUGUUUUUUAUUAAGGAUAUCAGUGUGUGAAGUAUUUGUUUUUGUGCCUUGAGAUUUGUGAAACUGUUCAGUAACUUGAUGACUAGCUUUUUGACACCCCAGAAGUAAACAAUAAUUUGACAUUUGAAAUCGACUUGGAUCGACAGACAAGCAUGCCAAAUGCUGUGCAGUUAAAACAUUAUGCAAAUGAUAAACUUGAACUUAAACAAACUACAUGUACAUGUAUCACCUGUAUCUAUAGCUUGGCAAUGAAAUACAUGUGUACUUUGAUGAAUUUGUCUCAUAAUGGCACAUUAAUUUAUUGUACAUCAUGUACAUGUGAAUUGUAUAUGAGAUUUACUUGGUCCAGGAAAAAUAUAUAUACUGAAAAAGCAAUUACCUUGAAUAAAUAUUGUGAACUUAA